CAGGUAAAUAAAGGUGAACACCAGAAGUGGGACAGGUAAAUAAAGGUGAACACCACAGGUGAGACAGAUAAAGGUUGUAUUCUGAGGAAACAGAAGAACCGAAUUUUAAUCGGCUGACACGCCGCAGGAAGUGAUGAUCUCAAUCUUCAUUAUGUUUUUUAUAAAUACUCAAACAUGAUGACACACAGCAUAACAGAGAAAAAAACAUCUGGAGGCUCCACCCACCGUGUUUCCCUCAGCACACCACAGGUGAGACAGGUAAAUAAAGGUGCACACCACAGGUGAGACAGGUAAAUAAAGGUGCACACCACAGGUGAGACAGAUAAAGGUGAACACCAAAGUUGAGCCAGGUAAAUAAAUGUGAACACCACAGGUGAGACAGAUAAAGGUGAACACCAAAGUUGAGCCAGGUAAAUAAAGGUGCACACCACAGGUGAGCCAGGUAAAUAAAGGUGCACACCACAGGUGAGCCAGGUAAAUAAAGGUGCACACCACAGGUGAGACAGAUAAAGGUGAACACCAAAGUUGAGCCAGGUAAAUAAAUGUGAACACCAGAAGUGGGACAGGUAAAUAAAGGUGAACACCAGAAGUGGGACAGGUAAAUAAAGGUGAACACCAGAAGUGAGACAGGUAAAUAAAGGUGAACACCACAGGUGAGACAGGUAAAUAAAGGUGAACACCAGAAGUGGGACAGGUAAAUAAAGGUGAACACCAAAGUUGAGCCAGGUAAAUAAAUGUGAACACCACAGGUGAGACAGGUAAAUAAAGUUGAACACCACAGGUGAGACAGGUAAAUAAAGGUGAACACCAGAAGUGAGACAGGUAAAUAAAGGUGAACACCACAGGUGAGACAGGUAAAUAAAGGUGAACACCACAGGUGAGAACGAUAAAGGUGAACACCAAAGUUGAGCCAGGUAAAUAAAUGUGAACACCACAGGUGAGACAGGUAAAUAAAGUUGAACACCACAGGUGAGACAGGUAAAUAAAGGUGAACACCAGAAGUGAGACAGGUAAAUAAAGGUGAACACCACAGGUGAGACAGGUAAAUAAAGGUGAACACCAGAAGUGGGACAGGUAAAUAAAGGUGAACACCAGAAGUGGGACAGGUAAAUAAAGGUGAACACCAGAAGUGAGACAGGUAAAGGUGAACACCACAGGUGAGACAGAUAAAUAAAGUUGAACACCACAGGUGAGACAGGUAAAUAAAGGUGAACACCAGAAGUGGGACAGGUAAAUAAAGGUGAACACCAAAGUUGAGCCAGGUAAAUAAAUGUGAACACCACAGGUGAGACAGGUAAAUAAAGGUGCACACCACAGGUGAGACAGAUAAAGGUGAACACCAAAGUUGAGCCAGGUAAAUAAAUGUGAACACCAGAAGUGGGACAGGUAAAUAAAGGUGAACACCAGAGGUGAGACAGGUAAAUAAAGGUGCACACCAGAAGUGAGACAGGCAAAUAAAGGUGAACACCACAGGUGAGACAGGUAAAUAAAGGUGAACACCACAGGUGAGACAGGUAAAUAAAGGUGAACACCACAGG